rnacentral:rRNA from 1 species
UACGUAGGGGGCAAGCGUUGUCAGGAUUCAUUGGGCGUAAAGAGCGUGUAGGCGGCCAGGUAGGUCGGUUGUGAAAACUGGAGGCUCAACCUUCAGAGGUCGACCGAAACCAUCUGGCUAGAGUCCGGGAGAGGAGAGUGGAAUUCCUGGUGUAGCGGUGAAAUGCGCAGAUAUCAGGAAGAACACCCGUGGCGAAAGCGGCUCUCUGGAACGGUACUGACGCUGAGACGCGAAAGCGUGGGGAGCAAACAGG